rnacentral:rRNA from 1 species
UACGUAGGGGGCAAGCGUUGUUCGGAAUUACUGGGCGUAAAGGGUGCGUAGGCGGGUCUUUAAGUCAGGGGUGAAAUCCUGGAGCUCAACUCCAGAACUGCCUUUGAUACUGAAGAUCUUGAGUUCGGGAGAGGUGAGUGGAACUGCGAGUGUAGAGGUGAAAUUCGUAGAUAUUCGCAAGAACACCAGUGGCGAAGGCGGCUCACUGGCCCGAUACUGACGCUGAGGAGCGAAAGCCAGGGGAGCAAACGGG